rnacentral:rRNA from 1 species
GAUGAACGCUGGCGGCGUGCCUAAUACAUGCAAGUCGAGCGAAUGGAUUAAGAGCUUGCUCUUAUGAAGUUAGCGGCGGACGGGUGAGUAACACGUGGGUAACCUGCCCAUAAGACUGGGAUAACUCCGGGAAACCGGGGCUAAUACCGGAUCACAUUUUGAACCGCAUGCUUCGAAAGUGAAAGGCGGCGUCGUCUGUCAUUUAGGGAUGGACCUGCGUAGCAUUAGCUAGUUGGUAAGGUAACGGCCCAACAAGGCAACGAUGCGUAGCCGACCUGAGAGGGUGAUCGGCCACACUGGGACUGAGACACGGCCCAGACUCCUACGGGAGGCAGCAGUAGGGAACCUUCCGCAAUGGACGAAAGUCUGACGGAGCAACGCCGCGUGAGUGAUGAAGGCUUUCGGGUCGUAAAACUCUGUUGUUAGGGAAGAACAAGUGCUAGUUGAAUAAGCUGGCACCUUGACGGUACCUAACCAGAAAGCCACGGCUAACUACGUGCCAGCCGCCGCGGUAA